GGGCCCGCACAAGCGGUGGAGCAUGUGGUUUAAUUCGAUGCAACGCGAAGAACCUUACCUACUCUUGACAUCCUGCGAAUUUGGUAGAGAUACCUUAGUGCCUUCGGGAACGCAGAGACAGGUGCUGCAUGGCUGUCGUCAGCUCGUGUUGUGAAAUGUUGGGUUAAGUCCCGUAACGAGCGCAACCCUUGUCCUUAUUUGCCAGCGCGUAAUGGCGGGAACUCUAAGGAGACUGCCGGUGACAAACCGGAGGAAGGUGGGGACGACGUCAAGUCAUCAUGGCCCUUACGAGUAGGGCUACACACGUGCUACAAUGGUCGGUACAAAGGGUUGCCAACUCGCGAGAGUGAGCCAAUCCCGAAAGCCGAUCUCAGUCCGGAUCGGAGUCUGCAACUCGACUCCGUGAAGUCGGAAUCGCUAGUAAUCGUGGAU
rnacentral:rRNA from 1 species